GCGGGCUGAAGGACCCAGAGGGAGGGGCACAGGUGCAGCGUGUAUCAGAAAGCAGGCGGGGGCGGGGGCGCACACAUGGAUUCCGGUUUGGGGCUUUUGUGUUGGUUCCUGAGAGGCGUGGGUGACUGCGAUGCUGUCUCUGGCAGAAACGCCUGAGAAGAUCUGGGGAAACUGGAGAAGAGGCCAUUUCUGAUAGGGAACCAGCCAGGAGGGCGGAUAACAGGGCUGCGAGGGAGGGUAGCAUGGCUCCAAGGAAGAGAAGAGCAGCCAGACUCUAGGCCCGCCCUCUCUGGGCCACAGGGCAGGAGCCUCCCCUGGUGCAAAGGCCUCUGAUGCAACUCCGUGUUUUGGGUCAAAUAAUGUCCAAAAACCCUAUGCUCGACUUAGUCAACCGUCCCGGGUCUCUGGCCUUUCCUUCACCCCCUCCAUCUGGUGGCGCGUGAUUGCUGCAGCUUCCUGGCACUGCCCGCCCGGAACCAGCGCGCAGAUUAAAGGGCACGGCUCCCAAGGAGACUGCCCUCCGUUUAAGGUCAGCCACGGGCAGUCCAGCCACUGUGAUCCUGACCGGUCAGCAACCAACCGGGCUUCCCACGACCCCCCGCAGGUUUGCUGUUCCUCGGAACGACCCAGAACUCAGCAAAGAACCCCAGGCUCCUCCCUCUCUGCUCAAAGCUGAUGACUUCUUAAACCGAAAUGGUUGGUCAGAAUCCAAUCAAGAAUAGAAAGGCAACUGAACAAAUAAAGCCAUGAAGAUAAAAUGCACGCUGGAGCCAGGAGAUGUUGCUCCAGUGAAUGACAUUUGGGAACCGGGGUCAAAACAGAACUGUGACGUAAUACAUUUUUAAGAAGUCAGGGAAGCUUGGAGUGUGACAUUUGAAAGGAGCCCCCGUUGGAAGGACCUGCUCCAGGGCUCAGGACGGCGCUGGCCCCGUGUGUGCGUGUGUUUCCAGCGCCAGGCUGGUAUGCAAACUAUUGUCUAUUGGAAGUGUGUGGUGGGAACGUUUGCCAGGGUUAAAGGCUGGGUCAAUCUGAUCAAGAAGCUAAAAUUAGCUUCUGUGUGUUUUCCUGAAAAGAAAAAAAAA